AUUAAUGUAUUGUGAGGCUUGUGACGAUGCAGGAGCUUUGUUGCGUGUGACUGGCAAAUUCUGGGACCCUUUGGCAGCAGAAGGAUGAGUGUUGCUACAAAGGGGCCCUCUGGUGAAAAUGACCCAUUAUUCCUUUCUCUGUUGUCCAGGGGAAGAGGCACUAUGUAUCUCAUUGAACCAUGUUCAGUGGCUGGCUGAGUCUAGGUCCCUUCGUUUCUUUCCACAUUGGGUAAAGCUUGUAGUUUUUUGGGGAAGGAAAAGGGGGCUAUGAGACAGAGGAAUUAUUUCCUUCUGGUAACCCAGGGGCCUGCUCCAUUCCCACACAUCAGUGGAAUACGUGCCAGCAUGGAAGUUAGCUGCAGCUGCAUCUCCCUUCCUAUGUGUGUGCCCAUAGUUAAUGACGUGUGAACUUCCCCUCUUGCUUAGGAAGCACAGCAAGGCAGUUGCUCUUGUGCCAUGGAGAAAGUCUGCAGCCUGAACAGUGGCUCAGAAGCUCUAACUGAAGUUCAAGAAGUUGGGAUAGCUGACAAGCAAGUGAAUCAGGUGGAAAUGAGGUCCUCUGGAGGACUGUAUUUCAGUUGCAAAACAGGACUCCUGUCAAUGCUAGAUCAGAUCAGUGGCAGCCCAUAUCUUGAAAACCCAUGUCUUGAAAACCUCCAUGGGUGGAACUUCAGUCAACAGUCUGGGUUACUUGCUCUAGGGCUACAUUUGACCUUGGUAAAACAUUUAACGACCAGCUUGAACCUCCCAAGGUUUACGUAGAUAUGGGGUGAUGUGAAAUUCACACUGGAU